AGCGAACGCUGGCGGCAGGCCUAAAACAUGCAAGUCGAGCGCUCGUAGCAAUACGGGAGCGGCAGACGGGUGAGUAACACGUGGGAACGUACCCUUUGGUUCGGAACAACCCAGGGAAACUUGGGCUAAUACCGGAUAAGUCCGCAAGGAGAAAGAUUUAUCGCCGAAGGAUCGGCCCGCGUCUGAUUAGCUUGUUGGUGAGGUAACGGCUCACCAAGGCGACGAUCAGUAGCUGGUCUGAGAGGAUGAUCCGCCACACUGGGACUGAGACACGGCCCAGACUCCUACGGGAGGCAGCAGCUAGGAAUCUUGGACAAUGGGCGCAAGCCUGAUCCAGCCAUGCCGCGUGAGUGAUGAAGGCCCUAGGGUUGUAAAGCUCUUUCAGCGGGGAAGAUAAUGACGGUACCCGCAGAAGAAGCCCCGGCUAACUUCGUGCCAGCCGCCGCUGUAA
rnacentral:rRNA from 1 species